rnacentral:rRNA from 1 species
UUGCCCUACGGGAGGCAGCAGUGAGGAAUAUUGGUCAAUGGUCGGGAGACUGAACCAGCCAAGCCGCGUGAGGGAUGAAGGUACAGAGUAUCGUAAACCUCUUUUGUCAGGGAACAAAGGCGGGGACGUGUCCCCGGAUGAGUGUACCUGAAGAAAAAGCAUCGGCUAACUCCGUGCCAGCAGCCGCGGUAAUACGGAGGAUGCGAGCGUUAUCCGGAUUUAUUGGGUUUAAAGGGGGCGCAGGCGGGCUGGUUAGUCAGCGGUCAA